rnacentral:rRNA from 1 species
CCGGCGCACGGGUGAGUAACGCGUAUGCAACUUACUAUCAGGAGGGGGAUAACCGGCGAAAGUCGGACUAAUACCGCAUAAAGCAGGGAUCCCGCAUGGGAAUAUUUGCUAAAGAUUCAUCGCUGAUAGAUAGGCAUGCGUUCCAUUAGGCAGUUGGCGGGGUAACGGCCCACCAAACCGACGAUGGAUAGGGGUUCUGAGAGGAAGGUCCCCCACAUUGGUACUGAGACACGGACCAA